GGGUUGUGAGGUUAAGCGACUAAGCGUACACGGUGGAUGCCCUGGCAGUCAGAGGCGAUGAAGGACGUGCUAAUCUGCGAUAAGCGUCGGUAAGGUGAUAUGAACCGUUAUAACCGGCGAUUUCCGAAUGGGGAAACCCAGUGUGUUUCGACACACUAUCAUUAACUGAAUCCAUAGGUUAAUGAGGCGAACCGGGGGAACUGAAACAUCUAAGUACCCCGAGGAAAAGAAAUCAACCGAGAUUCCCCCAGUAGCGGCGAGCGAACGGGGAGCAGCCCAGAGCCUGAAUCAGUAUGUGUGUUAGUGGAAGCGUCUGGAAAGGCGCGCGAUACAGGGUGACAGCCCCGUACACAAAAAUGCACAUGCUGUGAGCUCGAUGAGUAGGGCGGGACACGUGGUAUCCUGUCUGAAUAUGGGGGGACCAUCCUCCAAGGCUAAAUACUCCUGACUGACCGAUAGUGAACCAGUACCGUGAGGGAAAGGCGAAAAGAACCCCGGCGAGGGGAGUGAAAAAGAACCUGAAACCGUGUACGUACAAGCAGUGGGAGCACGCUUAGGCGUGUGACUGCGUACCUUUUGUAUAAUGGGUCAGCGACUUAUAUUCUGUAGCAAGGUUAACCGAAUAGGGGAGCCGAAGGGAAACCGAGUCUUAACUGGGCGUUAAGUUGCAGGGUAUAGACCCGAAACCCGGUGAUCUAGCCAUGGGCAGGUUGAAGGUUGGGUAACACUAACUGGAGGACCGAACCGACUAAUGUUGAAAAAUUAGCGGAUGACUUGUGGCUGGGGGUGAAAGGCCAAUCAAACCGGGAGAUAGCUGGUUCUCCCCGAAAGCUAUUUAGGUAGCGCCUCGUGAAUUCAUCUCCGGGGGUAGAGCACUGUUUCGGCAAGGGGGUCAUCCCGACUUACCAACCCGAUGCAAACUGCGAAUACCGGAGAAUGUUAUCACGGGAGACACACGGCGGGUGCUAACGUCCGUCGUGAAGAGGGAAACAACCCAGACCGCCAGCUAAGGUCCCAAAGUCAUGGUUAAGUGGGAAACGAUGUGGGAAGGCCCAGACAGCCAGGAUGUUGGCUUAGAAGCAGCCAUCAUUUAAAGAAAGCGUAAUAGCUCACUGGUCGAGUCGGCCUGCGCGGAAGAUGUAACGGGGCUAAACCAUGCACCGAAGCUGCGG
rnacentral:rRNA from 1 species